GAGAGAGAGAGAGAGAGAGUAAAUGAAAUCAGGAACCACAAAUCAUACUUUCUAUAAGAAACUCGAUAAUAAUAAUUGAUUUUCAUAACUCUCUUACACAACAAAGAAGAAAAAGAAUGCUGAACCGUCAAAACCAAAACAAAUUCAAUCAACAAACCCAAAUGAAACAUAGACUAAAUCACAACAUAACAAAAGGCAAGAACACACCUGAAAAACGUAUAAAAAAAUUUAACAAAUUAUUAAAGCAAGAAACACAAAAUCCAGCCAGAGUUAAAUAAAAUAAAGAAAAAUCCAAAACAUGAGAUCCAAGCCAGCAUAAUAAGAACUGAAAAUUACCAAGAGAUGAGCUAACAUAACACAAACCCAAUUCUAAACAUUACAUAGAAGUAAUACUAAAAACAAAAAAGAACAUAUAUACAAAACCAAAGAAAAACUGUAAUCACCAGAAAUAACGUUUCAGUGGCACCAAACCUACUCAAUCCAACUACUAUCGUCCUCAAAGCAUCCAUACCAUACCAUUGUGUCAAAUCAAAUAGGCAAAAACUGAUUUGAAGAAGCAAAACAGUACAACAACUUCAAGAAGCAAAACAGUACAACAACUUC
rnacentral:misc_RNA from 1 species